GGAGCGCGCAGUUCUAGUUAGACGUCAGUCUUGGUGUAGCAGUCGUCAGUGUUAUUUGGCUGAGUGGUAGCGGAAGCAUAAUGGAGUGCCCAUGCUGUCAACAGUUUCCUGACGAGAUAGAGAUGUUGUACCGAUUUUACACCACAGUGCAAUACAACCAAACUGCACUACCAUAAGGACAUCUCAUUUCUG